GGAAACAUAAAUAUUUUAAUUAUUAAUUUAUUUUUGUCCACUCACUCUAACGUUAUUAAAUGUUUUCCCCUGGGCCCUUCGUUUUAAAUUGCCCAGUCUGCAGAGUUCGGGUUGGAUCUAGUAGGAGACGAGGCAUAGUCACCCGCUUUUCGGCCAGUUUUCAUCAGUAGGUUACCUGUUCAACCUACUCGUGUUUUCUUGCUUCCGCUUGUGUUUAGUAACUCUGAAUACUUUAGAAUUUUUGUAUAUUAUGUGAUAUUCAGAAGUGUUAAAUUAAGAGUGUAAUAUGAAAUUUUCGAGUUAGGGUUGUCCAUCUGCAAGGGAGAUUUUCUUAAUCUUUUCAGUAAAUUUUCCUUGGAGGUGGUCCCCGCACGAUUUACUCUGGGUUUCAGGGUGAAAUUCGGGGUGGGUCGUGUCAUGCGUGAUGUUGUUAACUACAUCACAUCACCCGAAGGCGGAAAUGGCUUGCGUGACUCCGCUAGAAACGUGGAAGGCACAUCACCUCGAAAGGGGGAACAACACGCUAGCAUGAAUAUCAUAAAUAAUCCAACAAGUAUGGCAUAAGAAGGGAAAAUAUAAAUUCAUAUGAGUUUUCCCAAAACUCAUAAAUCGAGCAUAAGUACGAUUCCCAACCGUACUCGGAAAAUUUCAAAGCAAGAAAAUUAAUUAAAUUCAAUGACGUGUCCCACACGUUAAAAUGUUCAAUGAAAUAAAUAACUCAAAUAAUUAACAUGUUUCAAAAAUUAGGCAAUACUCAAAUCCUUAAAGAAAUCUCAAAUCCAGAGAUCAAAAGAAUAUCAUAAUUCAAAUACUAAAACAAUUACCCAACUCAAAAUCCAUAAAUCAUUAACGAUCUCCAAUAAUUUCCAAUCAUUCUAUAAACCCAAAAUUAUAAUAUAAACUUGGAAAAUAAAAUAGUAAAUUAUAAAGUCUUGCACGCAUAUUUAUUUAAAACCAAAAUGUCCACUCACAAAAUUUAGGCCUAAGCCUGACGAAUUCCGAAUCGUCACUCAAGUGAGGUCUCCUCGAAUCUUGAUACAACAACCAUGCUUAGGACCAAACUUCAAUUCCGGAAAAUAAAUACUUAAAUUUAAACACCCAAACGCUUAACCCACUACCCUUACUAGGGUUAAGUUUACCGGAUUCACAUCAAACUCCACCUCAACCUUAAUUCACUAAUUUUAACAUUUUAGAAUAAUUACCACGAAAAUCCAACGGCCGGAUUUUCAUUCUAACAACCGCUAAAAUCUUUAACCAUUGAAAAAUUCCAAACCUUAUCAAAACUCCUCCAAAAAUUCUAAACUAUACUUCAUUAAACUCCUCAUGAAAACAAACCCAAAAACAGGAAAAACUGCCCCUAAGGGGCGGCGCCGCAGCCGUACUCCGGCAACCUCCAAUGUUUUUCAAAUUUUAACACAACAAUCCUCUCAACCCACACAACAACGUCCUUAACUAGCACAAAACCUAUUUCUAAGCCUAACUAGGUUAAUCGAACCAAAACCUUAAAUUGAGCCCUAGAACUUCAAUUAUACAUUUCUCCCUACCAAGAUCGAAUUUAGCCAAAUCCUUUUGAGGGAUUACUAACCUUGAUGACAGCUACAAGAUGAGCCAAAAAUCACGACUUAUGGUGGCCAGAGGAGGGAACUCCGGCGAAAAGACAGUCGGCGUCUCUGGCGGAAACUCUCUUGAUCGGCGGUGUUACACGGUCAGUCACCGGCCCAGGAAGAGAGAGGGGGCGACGGGGGUCCGAUCAAAGGUGGUCCGGCGGUCUAUGGCGGCCGGACGGCGGCGGACGGAGGUUGGGUUCCGGCGGGUCAGGAGAGUUCACGAGAGAGAGAGAGAGAGAGAGAGAGAGAGAGAGAGAGAGAGAGAGAGAGAGAGAGAGAGAGAGAGAGAGAGGAGGAGGGAGGGGAGGGGUANNNNNNNNNNNNNNNNNNNNNNNNNNNNNNNNNNNNNNNNNNNNNNNNNNNNNNNNNNNNNNNNNNNNNNNNNNNNNNNNNNNNNNNNNNNNNNNNNNNNNNNNNNNNNNNNNNNNNNNNNNNNNNNNNNNNNNNNNNNNNNNNNNNNNNNNNNNNNNNNNNNNNNNNNNNNNNNNNNNNNNNNNNNNNNNNNNNNNNNNNNNNNNNNNNNNNNNNNNNNNNNNNNNNNNNNNNNNNNNNNNNNNNNGGGGGGGGGGGUUGUUGGGCUGCUCCACACCCGGUCCAACUUAAAACCCCAACAAAAUAAACCCACUAAAUUUUACCCCAUUUUUACCAACUCAAAAUUUACCUCUUUUUGUUGAUAACUUUUUCAUGUUAACUCCGAUUUGAACGUAUAACAUGUCUAUGAACUCAUAUUAACAUCCUCUACAACUUCUUUAAGGAAAUUUUCCCAAAAUUAUUUUUCUACAGAAAGUCAACUCUAUGGUCCUCCAAUAGUAAACGGUUACUCAAAUCAGUAAAAGGUCAAAGUAACACCAACAGUAAAUACCCGCAAAUUAACUCAAGAACCGGGAUGUGACAAAAACACAUUCCUAGUUCUUGUCCUAUUGACCAGGAUGUUGAUGAUGAGCAGGAUGGCUAUAGUAGGGGUUGCUAGAGCUCACCAGAAUACCCGUUGGUGGAAAAUUAGCACCGGUGGUCUUGGAGAACUUCUCGUAAGACAUGAUGAUCGAGGUUGUGAAAACGAAGAUUAGAAAAGAUGAAGAAGAGAACUCAAGGAAGCCUCUUAAUUUGUAGCUAUAGAAAAUGAGGCAGAUGACGACUUUGAAAAAUACUUGAAGAAAACAAGAAUUAAACAAAUAGACAAUCAGUUUGGAAUGGAUGGCUGUUGCAUCCAAGGAAUAAAAUAUCGGGUAUUGGGAAGAUAUUGAUAGUCUGAAAAAUAGAAAUUUCGAUGGAGAUAUCAGAAAGAUUCGAUUUUAGUACAUUUUUGAUAAAAAUAUUAGUACUUAAUUAUAGAGGUACACUAGUAUUACCCAAUGAUUAAAAUAUCGGUAUCGGUACAUCUAUCAGUACUUUGAAAAAAAAAGAUAUUGGAUAUAUAGGUGAUAUUCGGGAAAAAAUAUCGGGAUUUUAGAUAGAUACAUUAUUUUCUUUGAUUAUUGCUUUUGUAGGUCUUCUUUUUAUCAAGUCAAUAGCAUGAAGAAUAAGAAGAAGAAAACAAUGUUACUUUUUCACGAUAGCUAAUCUACUGUGGAAACAAUUGGUUAUAUCAUCACCAUCUACUGUGGAAACAAUUGGUUAUAUCAUCACCAUCAUCACCAAAUGGAAUGACAACGAUUAACACUAAACAAAAUACCGAUCUUUAUCAUUUGCCACACUUCGCACGGCAUUGACUAGCAAUGGUCCAUUACUGCUAUAUCAGAGCUACUAGUAUUUUGAUUAUGACAUUAGAAAAAAAAAAAAAAAAAGCUUUAUAACUUGAUAUUCUUCUUACGAGAAUAGUUCCCACAACUUGAGGAAGACCCCUAGGGCCAGUAAUGGACUAAUGGUACGUGAUGAUAAGCUACGUAUAUUCUAAGUUCGAUUCUGAUAUGCAUGCAUAGAUGAUGAUACUGAUAGUCAAUCGCUUACCAUCCGCGUCAUGAUCAUAUAUAUUUCCAUGCAUGUCUGUAUGUGUUUCCAUUAAUUUCCAGAAAAUAUUAGAGACGACAAGUCUGGAAUUGAAAGCUAAAGGAAGAGAAGUUAUGGUACCACUUCAUCAACUGAACUUAUCAGUUAUUACCGAGGUCAUUAUACUAAAACAGAAAAUGAAUCGUCACAUUGACAUAAAACAAUUAGUUAGCUGCUUAAUUAAAAUUAUCGAUGAAAAUAAAAGUUGCAUUACGUACAUUGAUGCCUACCAAAUUAAACUUUUGGUUUUCAUGUACUCAUAUUCUCGUAUCAUAUCUUCGUCAGUCAUAUUAAUUUAUGUGUGUGAUACAAAAAAUUAAAUCACUUAAAGGCCAAAUUCAAUCAGAUUACAGUUGAUAUAAAUAUAUAUAUAUAUAUAUAUAUAUUUAUAUAUCAGGCUCUUUCUCUAAGGGAUCAUUUUUCUUUUUUGACAUAUAUGAGGNNNNNNNNNNNNNNNNNNNNNNNNNNNNNNNNNNNNNNNNNNNNNNNNNNNNNNNNNNNNNNNNNNNNNNNNNNNNNNNNNNNNNNNNNNNNNNNNNNNNNNNNNNNNNNNNNNNNNNNNNNNNNNNNNNNNNNNNNNNNNNNNNNNNNNNNNNNNNNNNNNNNNNNNNNNNNNNNNNNNNNNNNNNNNNNNNNNNNNNNNNNNNNNNNNNNNNNNNNNNNNNNNNNNNNNNNNNNNNNNNNNNNNNNNNNNNNNNNNNNNNNNNNNNNNNNNNNNNNNNNNNNNNNNNNNNNNNNNNNNNNNNNNNNNNNNNNNNNNNNNNNNNNNNNNNNNNNNNNNNNNNNNNNNNNNNNNNNNNNNNNNNNNNNNNNNNUUUUUUUCUGGACCUGACGAUUUUGAAUGAUCAUUCAAUCUGGGCCGAGUCGUUUUUGGACCAUUGGAGGGUCAGAAGCGAGCUCACGUGGUUCAACCGCAGGUGUGCAUCUCCUGCUCACGCGUGAUUGGCGCGUCUCGCGCUCCCGCGCGCUCCUCGCCGGCCCGUUUUUCUGUCUUUAGCGCGCGUUCUCCACAGACGAAGCUCGCCGCGCGUAGCUCCUGUCGUUACCCAGUCUUUCACGUGCACCUGCUGCCUUCUGCCGCCAUCUGGGUCCCGCGUCUGCAGUUUUGGGUUUCCUCCUUGCAACUCGACCCAUUUUGGGUCGUCUGUGUAGUAGGAACCCAUAAUUGGGUAUGGGUUUUAAUUGUUGGAGAUGAAUUUUUAUGGGUUUUGAGUAUGGGUUUGGGUAUGGCAACCAUUGUUGGAGAUGCCCUUAUAUAUAGAUCAAUUCUGCAAAUUUUCAACCAAUUUGUUGAUCGGUGUCGAACAAGAUUAAAUCAAUGAACAAACCAAAUCUACCAAACUUGAACCGUUCAUGUUUAUAAUUAUAAAUAGUAGUUUUGAAUGCCUUAAUGAUCACAAAAAUUUCUGAAAAUUUACAGAAAUGAUCUACUCAUAUAUAUAGAACUACAUAUUGAACGGUGUAGAUAUGAUUUUGGCAGCCCAACUCCGGCGACGUUCAAUGCCUCCCAAAUUUUAACAGAAUAAUCCUCUCAUCAAACACAACAACUUUCAUAACUAGCACUUAGUCCAAUUCUAAGGCUAACUAGGGUUAUCGAACCCAAACAUCCAAAAAUCCCUAAUUCAAACCCUAGCCCGAAAAUUCUCCUACACACUUCGAAUUGGCUAAUUACCUUCUAGGGGAUUGUUACACAGGGAAAACACUUCCAAAUGAGACCUGAAUUAUCGGUGAUGACGUCCGGAGAAGUGAGUUCCGACGACAGGACUCCACAAUGCAGUCGGAGCUUCCGGGCGAUCUCUCUCCCUCACGACGGCGCUAGGGCAGCUCCCACCUGUCCAAGAAGAGAGCUGGGUUGACGGCCGACCGUUUGGGACCGGUGCGACGGUCGAUGGUGGCUGGACGGCGGCGGACGACGCUGGGGAACUUCCGGUAGGAGAAGGGCUCGGGGGAGAGAAGAGGGAAGGGAGAGAGAGAGAAAUGAGGUGGGCUUUUCCCUCCUCUUGGCCCGGUCCAGAAAUUAAUACCCCAAAAAUAAAACCCAACAACAAUUUUUACCUUUUACUAAAUAAUGCUUACUCUUUUAUCUGACAACUUUUACAUGUUAUCUCCGAUUUAAGCGUGCCACAUGCCUACAAACUCUGCUUAACGUCCUCCACGACUUUCAUGAAGAAAAUUUUCCCAAAAUAGUUUUCUUACAAAAAGUCAACUGCAGGGUCCUUAAAUAGUAAAUGGUUACUCAACUCAGUAAAAUGUCAAAAUAACCUAAAAGUCAAUAACCGUAAAUUAACUUAAGAACCAGGAUGUGACAAUUCUCCCAUACUUAUAAAAAUUUCGUCCUCGAAAUUUCAAAUCAUGCAAAGGGGUAGAGAUUACUUCUUUUCACCUCAGACUCCAAUAAGUGCUAGGCUAAAUCAUCCCAUCAUCAAUGCUCUUCAAACUUUCUUCUAUCACAAAUUACACCAUUUUCACUUGUAGAAACAGUUAACCGAAUUCUUUUCCACUUACAUUGGCACAUCAAAACUUAUCGACCAAACCCAAGGCGUGAGCAUAUGCUUUAACCAAUCUCUAACUUAGGGUCAACUGGCAUACUCUGCCAACAAUCCACAUGGCACCACUCACACAAUACACUUUGUCACAUCCCGACCCUUAUAUAUAUAUAUAUAUAUAUUUUUUUUACCUUAUUUACUAGCCUGAUUAUAAUAAGAAUUUUACCGUCUCGAUCAUUGAGUAAAUAGUUUAAUUGGUCCCUAGAGGGGUUUCGGGGACGAUUAUGUGCGGAGGAUUAUUCGUAUGAGGAAAAUACGACGAUGGUACAAAAUGGUAAAUUUUAGCUAGUAAAAGGUAAUUUUUAUUCGGGUAUUAUUUUCGGGGUGUUUAAUUUUAGAAUUUGGAUAGUUUUUAAGUGAUUGACCGGUUUGGGGUGUGAGGCCCAAACCCAUUCUUUUUCCUCCCGAUUUUCUCUCCUCACCCGCUCCCGCACCCGAGCCCUCCCGCUGUCCCGUUUUCCGACCGCCAGACCGCCGCCGCACCGGUCCCAAUCGAUCGGUCUUCAACCCAGCAACCUUCUUGGACCGGUGACAGCUCCCCUAGCGUCGCCGUGAGGGAGAUAUCGGGCCCGAGAGGUCCGACUGUGUUAGGGAUCACGUCGCCGGAACUUCCUCCUCCGGCCAUCAAUCCGGGCAAGCUUGGCACGGUUUUGUAGCCCUCCUCCCGUGCAGCAACCCCUCCAAGCAGCUCCCUCCCUCUUGAGCUAGGUAAGGAGAAAUGUGGAGUUGAAAUUUCUAGGGCUUUUAAGUUGUUUUCGUUCGAUUAGCCUAGUUAGGCUUGGAAUUGGGUGAUGUGUUGGUCAUGAAAGUUGUAGAGGAGAUUGAGAGGAAGUUUCUGUUAAAAUUUGGUAGCAUUUGCAGGUCGCCGGAGUUGGUCGCCGGCCGCCGCUGUUUUGGGAAAUUUUGUGGUUUUUGAUGUAGAAUAUUAAGGUGAUAUUAUUGAGGUGAAUUUUGGAAUUUUUGGAUGAGAUUUGGAUAGGUUUGUGAAUUUCCGAAGUGUGGUAUUUUUGGCGGGUAAUUAAUGUAGCAUCCGGCCGUAGGAUUUAAGUCGUAUUUUGGAGAGGUUGUAUUUACGACUGUUGAGUACGAUAUUUAAGUUCGGAUCGUUCCGAUUUAAGAAUAUCGAAGUUAGGCAAUGAUGAGCGUAAUUAUGGCUCUCGGGUAAUUUUGCCUAUUUUGAUUAAAUAUUGGAUUAUUGGUUGGGAAAUUAAUAUUAUAUUUGGAACAGGACGUGAGGAGGCUCGAGCAGACGAGACCCCAGAUCGACAUCAGGCUUAGGCCUAAUUUGUGAGUGGACUUUUAUUUGAAAUAAUAUGCAUGCUAUGGUUCAUGAUUGAACAUUUCCUUUUGUUGGAGUUUUGACGUCAAUUAAUUUUGACGCUUUUAUUUCUCUGAGAGAGUUACCGAAAAUGGGAUUUUCGGUGAAUAUAAAUAUGUAUAUAUGAGAGAGUAUGUAUAGAAAAUGCUAGCUAGCCAUAUGUGUCUGUCCACCUUNNNNNNNNNNNNNNNNNNNNUUGUGUUUAGUAGCUCUGAAUACUUUAGGAUUAUUGUAUAUUAUGUGAGGUUCGGAAGUGUUGAAUUAAGAGUGUAAUAUGAAAUUUUCGAGUUAGGGUUGUCCAUCUGCAAGGGAGAUUUUCUUAAUCUUUUCAGUAAAUUUUCCUUGGAGGUGGUCCCCGCACGACUUACUCUGGGUUUCAGGGUGAAAUUCGGGGUGGGUCGUGUCACACUUUGCCCUUGACUUAUCUUCCACUAAUUGAAUAGCUUGCCCAAUUUUAAUUACUUAUGAUACAAAACCUCAAAUCACACGGAUGACUUUGACCUAAGUCAAGUCAAUAUGGUCAGUAAAUUUCGUAAUUCACAACACCAUCUUACUUCCGUCACCAAUUAAUCAAAACAAAACUCGAUCGCUCGCAUCAAAUUUGAACCUUCCCCACCUAUAUGAUUGGCCUCAAUCGAUAAGUUGAUUGGCGAAUAUCUCUCUUGUCGCCUAAUUAUGCUAAUGCGAUCUAUAUUACCAAAUCCCUACACUUAAUAUCUCUUGUAUCUCAACUCGUAUCCAUACAACAAUGAUCUCCCAGGUCUUAUACGGAUCAAAAGUGGUCUCACCACAAUACGAUCAUGUAUGAAUAUGCAUCACAAAAAAAACAUUUAACAUGACCUGACACAAUUUUUCCAUUAAUGCCAAUGAACUGACAAGCCUUAACUGAAAAUAUUUUCCGAAUUAUCAAGAAUCUUUUUCCUUAAAGCUAUACCACCAGCCAAACAUAUUAGUAUUUCCAACAAUUCACCCCGCGAAUUAAUCAUUACUAACCAAUAAUAACCGUCGGAAUCUCAUCCCUCAAUAAUAAAUUCAACAGUUGCUACCAACGACGACUUACAAGCACAAGAAAAAUAUCACUCUCAAAAUCGAUCAACAUAUCUGAAAUUGGCACCUCCACAAAUGAGGAAAGUACGUUAAGAAGAAUCAUCUUUGGGUUAUACUUCUUCCACAUAAUUAUGCGUUGCUAAAGAUGCCAAAGAUCACGAAGACCUACUCGUAUUUCCUGAGUAGAGAUUUUUCCCAUGAAUUUCUCGUUAUCCUUAACGAAUGUUGAAGUCCCAUUAAUAAAUCGUACCAACUAAUAGAUGCCAAAGCACGGAAAUUCCCGCAUCAACUCUAAAGUCGAACCGUCUAAGUUACCAAUCGAAUAACCGUACUACAACCAAAAUACAAACUUUGAGUUGACCAAAUUGAGUGUCAGCACAGCUGAUGUUGGCAGUCUAUCAAACAACGCUAGAUAGUCCUUUCUUGCUACCCCCAUAUGAUGUAAAAUGAUUUUCUUUCUUCCAUUUGAUUUCUAGAUCCAACUAGCUGGAUCACGCAGGUCCAUAAUGUCCAAGGAAGAUGAAAGCACAAAACUGGAGUCCAAAGCUCAAGUCGCCAAAACUGUUAGAUGCCAAAGAUAAAUACUCCUCGUAGAAUGCCGAAUUGUACGAAUGCGUACAAAAAUCUAGAACGCCUUCCUCGUAUGAUGAUCAGCAAUCCUGAGUCGAAUCGCACUCUGCAAGGCCCGACUCUUCAACUCAUGUCGAAAAUUUACUUAUAUCAAGAACAAGUUGGUCUUAGAACACCCAGGACAUCGACGAUACUCAUCGAUUGCCACGCUGCUCCAGUAGUUACCUCAAAGAAUUUGGGGUCUAAAAACGAGCUCUAAAAACAAAUCACACACUCCACACAUAAGUGAUAUACCCGAUUCUCUUAAAAAAAAACCUGAGCUAACACUCAAGUAACGCAAAAUUGACGGCCGCAUGCUCCAUCUAAAAAAUUGUGCGUCAACCACAUUAUCUCCUGCAUAAUGCUCAAGUGGAAGCAUGGGAUUGCUCGAAUCUAAUAGAGCCUCGACAAUAACUUCCAAUCCUAACCAGUCAAUUUCACCACUACAAUACUCUAGACAACAACUACACUUGUGGGAAAGACUACCUCCAGAUCCACAUCUCACUCAUCCUCUUAGGAAUUAUUCGUAUCAGCUAAUAACAAUAGCUAAAGCGAAAAACAAUUAUUUCAAAAUCAAUAACCUCAAUUACACCGCUUAAACUAUCUGUGCAUAUCAUCAUACACAUUACCAAUCCAAAUUUAUUCCAACACUCUUCUCCUAACCAUCACUCGACUCGAUGCCACGAUUUUCUAACCAACCACCACUUCGAAUUUACAACUUCAGCCUUUCUUGCACCAAUGACUAAAGAUAUCGAAGAUUGAGAUUACCUUUAGACGAUAGGGGUUCGUCAGUAAUCUUCUACCAAAGUCAAAAGACCUAAAAGUUGAAAAGAGUCGCUUCCAAACUCUUUUUACCUAUUGACAUAACUGACACCUAUACACAAAAGUUGCAUUUUCCUCCUCUCCACUUGUUGCCGUAAAAUCAAAGCAACCACAACUAUCUCGCAUCCGCUUCACCAUUAUAUACCAACGCCAUUUACACUUACGAUCUUUCUAAAAUUGACAACACAAAUAGAAGAGUGAAUCCCAAAUCACAAUUACCAAACCUAAAUCGACCAAUAACAAUUCCAAAAACCAAACUUCAAUAGCCCCAAUCAACACAUGCAAUAACAUCCACAAUUAAUUAGCUCAAGCAACACCACUCUACUAUUUAUCUCAAAGCAAGACAACAUUUAUUUAACCCCCUUAUAAUCACUUAUUCCAACACCAACUUUAUUUAGAAAUUUCUCAAUCCUUCAUUCACUGCAUGCCCUCUCUAUUAAUAAUACCCAUAAAAAGGCUCAACUUCGCCUCUUAAUCGUAGUCCAUCAACUCGAUCAUUACGUAAAAGAAAAUGAUCACAAAUACAUGCCACUUCCCAACUCAUAAUUGACCUCAAAAUCUCGCAACCACAAAAUAACAUAAAGGAAAGAUGCACAUCACUUACCUUUCCAUUACUCGGAAAAUAACCAAGAUACUCUUGAAGAUCGGCGUACGGAGGCAUAGUCUUGAAGAUGUAGACAUUUAUGGCACAAUAUUGUCCAUAAAUAAGACAAAAACAACUACCUCACAUACCUAAUAAAUAUAUAGCAUCUGAUGCAUAUAAUGCUAAUGAAUAUGCCGCGGUCGGACCAUCACUCUAUAGAUACUAAGUAUCACUAAGUAUAUGAGGUAGUGAUAGGAAUCGGAUAACCUAAUGCUCUGAUACCAACUGACAAGACCUACCCCCGAAUUUCACCCUGAAACCCGAAGUAAAUCCUGCGGGGUCCACCUCCAAGGAAAAUUUACAAAAAAUUCGGCAUAAUCUACCUUGAAAAUGGACAACCCUUACCUGAAAAAUCCAACUUACACUUCUAUAAUCAAACAAACCAGCCUCAACACCUGAAACAUUCCUGCUACCUAAAUUCAUCACAUCUCCCACAAUAUCAAAAACUAAUCCCAAAAUAAUACCACAACCAACAACACGUUCAAUCAACAAUUUAUUGACUGGAUUAUCAGAGCAUAACUAAACAUGAACGAAAAACAAGGAAUAAAGAAUAAACGAAAGCAACCUCUGACUAUGCCUCGACUCCAUGUACGCUCGACCUCACUUAGACUUAGCCUGCAAACUGGGCAUUUAAAACCAAAGGGCCCAAGGAAAAAUAAUUUAAAAAAAACGUUAGAAUGAGUGGAUGAAAAAUAAUCGAGUAACUAAUCACAACAUAACUAACCAAACUUAAUUACUUUCCCAUUUUCCAAUAAUCAAUAAAUCCGGUUGCAUGCAAGUGUUGAUAAAACUUUCACAAAGAAAAAUCCCAAGAAAACGGACUAGCCCCGCUAGUCAAAUUAAUCGACAAAAUAAAUAAUAACCUUUGUAAAAGUAAGUACCAAAAUAACGGACUAGCCCCGCUAGUCAAAGACAACAUUAAAGGUACAUAAAGACCUUUGUAAAUUGAAAUAUCGAAAAGAUGGACUAGCCCCGCUAGUCAAGACAAUAAAUAUUAAAUAAGAAACAGCUAUAGCCAUACAAGUGAGCCUCUCAGGCUCGGGUGCCUCCCAGGAAAAAAUACUCUCAUACUCCCUACACAUUCACGUUAUGAUAACAGAGAGGGUGCAAGGCUUGCGUGAUAUAGUCGACUACAUCACAUCACCCGAAGGCGGAAAUGGCUUGAGUAACCCCACUUAAAACGUGGAAGCCACAUCGCCUCGAAAGACGGAACAUCAUGCUAGCAUUAGUAAUAUAUUAUCCGACAAGUAUGACAUAAAUAAAGAACAUAAAUCCAUAUGAGUUUUCCCGAAACUCAUAACUAAAGCAUAAGUACGAUUCCCAACCGUACUCAAAGAAUUCAAAGAGCAAAGAAAAAUAAUUAAAUUCGAUGACAUGUCCCACACGUUAAAAUGCUCAAUGAAAUAAUUAACUUAAAUAAUUUUCAUCUUUCGAAAACUAGGCAAUAUACAAAUCUGGAUAUAAUCUCAAAUCCGGAAAUCAUAAAAAUAUCAAAACUCAAAUACCAAAUCUCUAACCCAUACUCAAAUCCAUAAGUUCAUUAUCGAAAACAUAAUCAAUAUGUCAAUCUCCAAUAAAUUCCAUAAAUCAUGGCAAAGAUUAAUCCAUGCAUCAAAAUCAAAUAACUUUAAAGACGAUUUCAUAAGCCGAAAUUACAAUUUAAGCUUGGAAAAUAUAAUGGGCAACUUAUAAAAUCAUGCAUGCAUAUUAAUUAAAAACCAAAAUGUCCACUCACAGAUUUAGGCCUAAGCCUGACAAAUUCCGAAUCGCCACUCAAGUGAGGCCUCCUCAAAUCCUGACACAACAACCAUGCUUAGGACCAAACUUCAAUUCCGGAAAAUAAUACUUAAAUUUAAACACCCAAAACUCUUCCGCUUAACCCACUACCCUUACUAGGGUUAAGUUUACCGGAUUCACAUCAAACUCCACCACAACCUUAAUUCAUCAAUUCUAACAUUCUAGAAUAAAUACCAAGGAAAUUUAACAGCCGGAUUUUCAUUCUAACAACCGGCAAAAUCCUUAAUCUUUGAAAAAUCUCAAACCUUAUCAAAACUCCUCCAAAAAUUCCAAACUUUACUUCAUUAAACUCCUCUCAUAAAAACAAACUCAAAAACAUGAAAAGCUCUCAUGUUAACAGAAUAAUCCUCUCAUCAAACACAACAACUUUCAUAACUAGCACUUAGUCCAAUUCUAAGGCUAACAAGGGUUAUCGAACCCAAACAUCCAAAAAUCCCCAAUUCAAACCCUAGCUAGCCUGAAAAUCCUCCUACACACUUCGAAUUGGCUAAUUACCUUCUAGGGGAUUGUUACACAGGGAGAGCACUUCCAAAUGAGACCUGAAUCAUCGGUGAUGGCGGCUGGAGAAGCGAGUUCCGACGACGGGACUCCAUAACGCAGUCGGAGCUUCAGGGCGAUCUCUCUCCCUCACGACGGCGCUAUGCCAGCUCCCCACCUGUCCAAGAAGAGAGCUGGGUCGACGGGCGACUGUUUGGGACCGGUGCGGCGGUCGAUGGUGGCUGGACGGUGGCGGACGACGCUGGGGAACUUCCGACAGGAGAAGGGCUCGGGGGAGAAAAGAGGGAAGGGAGAGAGAGAGAGAGAAAUGAG
rnacentral:lncRNA from 1 species